CAGAUUGCCACUGCAGUCAAAGAUACCAACGUAUCUGGAGAACUUUUCUUUACGUCCAUGGAAGAACCUUGGGUGUUGGUGCUCUGUUUUAUUUAUCUCGUCAUGCAUAGAGUAACCUGGGCUCUCACUGUUUAGUCUCAUGGAAGCAGAGAAGAAGCUUUGAAAUAAGGAGUAUCUUAGGUGAAAGUAACCUCAGAGAUUUCUAGGCUGACUGCUCCCAGAUCUUCAACUGUGUUCUGGCAUGCCACAGGACUUGACCUCCCCUGUGUGAUGGCAAGCGCUUCCUGACACCGACCCUCAUUCCUAACACUGGCUUCUCUAGGCGUCAUCCUAGAAGCCAUCACCUCUGCAACCUCUGCAAAGUCUUCUCUGAACAGUUCUUGCUCCCAAGAACAAAGUUGCUCUUACUCCCAGACAUUUGUACAGCUCUAAUUUAUUCACCCCAACCCCCACCCAGUCCCCUGAAAACAGCACAAACUCAUGGAAGCUGUUUACCUAUAAGUCUUCCUCAAAAGAAUGGUUUAAGGAGAUGGACUGUAUACCACUAAUGCCCAGUCUAUGUAAGAAUUCAAUCAAUAUGCAUUGAUUAAAUACUCACAAGAUAGGUAUUAUCCUCAUUUUACAGAAGCAUAAACUUGAGCUUAGUGAGACUACAUAAUUGUUCCAAAUCAUGCAGUGAGUAGAUGGUAGAGUCUGAAUUAAGCCAAGAUCUUUUAGGAUCCAAAGCCCACCAAUUUUUAGUAUUAGCCAACUUUUGACCUCUAAAUUUAGAGGCAGCUGAAUCUACACAAAUUGCCACUGAUUGAGUGGUAUGAUUAUUCAGGAAACAUUUUUAUUUCAUGAAUAUAACCUAAGUCAGUGAAUGAAUAAAUG